rnacentral:rRNA from 1 species
UACGGAGGGGGCUAGCGUUGUUCGGAAUUACUGGGCGUAAAGCGCGCGUAGGCGGAUCUGCAAGUCGGGGGUGAAAUCCCGGAGGCUCAACCUCGGAACUGCCUUCGAUACUGCGGGUCUCGAGUCCGGGAGAGGUGAGUGGAAUUCCUAGUGUAGAGGUGAAAUUCGUAGAUAUUAGGAAGAACACCAGUGGCGAAGGCGGCUCACUGGCCCGGUACUGGACGCUGAGGCGCGAAAGCGUGGGGAGCAAACAGGGAUUAAGAAACCCCAG